rnacentral:lncRNA from 1 species
CAAAGUAGAAUCUGCUUGUUUCCGAGGAUCAGCGAGAAGGCACAUGUGAAGCUCACCCCGGUUCUGUCUGUUUCUGCUCUCCUACGAAGACCCCAUAUGGAGCCAGUGACAACCGGGGCCCGUGGGGAAGGCAGGACGAGGACUGGGCCACGCUGCUCAGCACAGGGUCAGCUGGCUGGACUAGGGUGGGCUGGCCAGGCGCGGAGUGGGCUGGUCAGGCGUGGGCUGGGCUGGUCAGGUGUGGGCUGGGCUGGUCAGGUGUGAGGUGGGGUGGUGAGGUGAGGGGUUGUCUGGUCAGGUGUGGAGUGGGCUGGUCAGGUGUGGGCUGGGCUGGUCAGGUGUGGGGUCGGCUGGUCAGGUGUGGGCUGGGCUGGGCUGGUCAGGUGUGGGCUGGGCUGGUCAGGUGUGGAGUGGGGUGGUGAGGUGAGGGGUUGUCUGGUCAGGUGUGGAGUGGGCUGGUCAGGUGUGGGCUGGGCUGGUCAGGUGUGGGGUCGGCUGGUCAGGUGUGGGCUGGGCUAGGCUGGUCAGGUGUGGGGUCGGCUGGUCAGGUGUGGGCUGGGCUGGUCAGGUGUGGGGUGGGCUGGUCAGGUGUGGGACGGGCUGGUCAGGUGUGGGACAGGCUGGUCAGGUGUGGGCUGGGCUGGUCAGGUAUGGGCUGGGCUGGUCAGGUGUGCGGUGGGCUGGGCUGGUCAGGUGUGCGGUGAGCUGGGCUGGUCAGGUGUGGGGUGGGCUGGUCAGGCGUGGGCUGGGCUGGG